GAUGAACGCUGGCGGCGUGCUUAACACAUGCAAGUCGAACGGAAAGGCCCUGCUUUUGUGGGGUGCUCGAGUGGCGAACGGGUGAGUAACACGCGAGUAACCUGCCCUUGAAUUUGUGAUAACUUCAGGAAACUGGGGCUAUUAUCGGAUAGGAGCUUCUGCUGCACGGUGGGGGAUGGAAAGAUUCGGCGGUUGGGGAUGGACUCGCGGCUUAUCAGCUUGUUGGUGGGGUAGUGGCUUACCAAGGCUUUGACGGGUAGCCGGCCUGAGAGGGUGACCGGCCACAUUGGGACUGAGAUACGGCCCAGACUCCUACGGGAGGCAGCAGUGGGGAAUAUUGCACAAUGGGCGGAAGCCUGAUGCAGCAACGCCGCGUGCGGGAUGACGGCCUUCGGGUUGUAAACCGCUUUCGCCUGUGACGAAGCGUGAGUGACGGUAAUGGGUAAAGAAGCACCGGCUAACUACGUG
rnacentral:rRNA from 1 species